AUUGAACGCUGGCGGCAUGCUUUACACAUGCAAGUCGAACGGCAGCGCGGGCUUCGGCCUGGCGGCGAGUGGCGAACGGGUGAGUAAUACAUCGGAACGUGCCCAGUAGUGGGGGAUAGCUCGGCGAAAGCCGGAUUAAUACCGCAUACGACCUGAGGGUGAAAGCGGGGGAUCUUCGGACCUCGCGCUAUUGGAGCGGCCGAUGGCAGAUUAGCUAGUUGGUGGGGUAAAGGCCUACCAAGGCGACGAUCUGUAGCUGGUCUGAGAGGACGACCAGCCACACUGGGACUGAGACACGGCCCAGACUCCUACGGGAGGCAGCAGUGGGGAAUUUUGGACACUGGGCGAAAGCCUGAUCCAGCAAUGCCGCGUGGGUGAUGAAGGCCUGCGGGUGGUAAAGCACUUUUGGCGGGAAAGAAAAGGACUGUGCCAAUACCACGGUUCGAUGACGGUACCCGCAGAAUAAGCACCGGCUAACUACGU
rnacentral:rRNA from 1 species